GUCUACAUGAUAGAAAAGAGAUGAGUACAGUUUUGAGCAGCGUGGCUUUGAUCACAGGCAGCCUAUCAUAAGAGAAGUGAUAUGCUCUUUGAUGACAGCCAAGUCUGAGUGAUAUAAACCGGGUUGCCAAGUUUAAAACUUCAAACAGUAAGAUGUGCCAGUGAAAUCAGUGUCAGAAUGAAACAAGCAAGCAAAUGCAGCCAGUAAUAACAACAGCAGUGGAUUAAGGGAUAAGGCCCAGGCACCAAGAGAGGGCAAAGCUGCUAAGCUAAUCUCCUGGGGCUCACAGACAUUCUUAUAGGCUAAGAGCAAAUACCACUGGUAUAAAGCAGGGUGGGUAAAGGUGGAGAGCAACUCUGAUUGGGAAAAUGGAAAAAUAUCAGCAAAGCAGAUUUCACCACUCAUCAGACACAUUAAAGAGCCAGGGAAGCAUCUGCCAGUGGGUUAAUGGUGUCCCCAAGUGUCUAGGCUACAGAACAUUGCUUUCAUAAAUAAGAAUUUCAAUAUGAUA
rnacentral:lncRNA from 1 species